UCUUAUCUUGCCAAGCAGAACAAGUACACGCAUUCUGAUCUCGUCGAGCUGAACAAGGCUGCCAAGGGCCACGCUGUCGAUGCUCCAGGACGACGACCAUGAUAGCCAGAUGCUGCAGCAGGCUAUGCAGUUGUAGAAUGUGAAUGAGCGAACAUGUCAAAUCUGCAGUGGCACUACUGGGUUCUAGCAACAGCCAACAAGUGAUGUCUUUUGUGUGUUGGCCUAUGAGUGGCAAGGAGGAGAAGCGGUGCUGCCCCUGCUAUCAAUGCUAAACUAGAUAGAAUAGGCACAAAAAGAUUUUGCUCCUUAUAUUGGUUGUUCCUAAAGUGCCUGAUGACUUUCAUACUUGAUAUUGCAAAUGGAUCUGUUACCUCCUCCUAAAGGAAAAUGAAUUAUUCACAAGUUCCAGGAGAUGAUGAGCACAACAGUUGAUUAAUUGGAUAAUGAAUUCAGCUCUCUGCAAGGCAAUGUCCAAGGUCCUAAGCAGCAGCUGAGGGAUCAAGGCAAAGAUGUUGAUCUCUCUUCGUCUUAACCUUAUCACAAGAUUCCACAUCUAACAAGUGAGCAGCAGCCGAGACCAAGCUAAGCUAUGCUGGUGAUUGGUUUUGGUACAAAUGAGAGAUAUUUGAGGAGCUAUUGGAGCUCAAGAUGCUAGCUUGAGGUGCUAUUUUUUGAACUAACGAAUAGAAUAAGGGAUUUGAUGGAGUAAAUUUCUUUGGCUCUAUGGAUUGGAAGAACCGAAGAAGCACGGAAGAGAUGCAGGACAUGAGAUAAGCUGCAGUUCCGAGGCGGCUGUGUUGUGGCAAAUGAGGCUUAUGGUGGGUUCAAUGGAAGAGAGAACAAACAAAUAUUUGCUGAAUUUUGUAUUGCUAUAAAGUUAAAACUCGUGGUAUGUUUAUGACCUGUGCACUUAAAAAUGAUUAGAUAAAGUUCUUUUUUUAAGUGGGUAUUACUUAAUUUUUGAUACCCGUAACAAUGUACGGACAUAUUUCCUAGUAAUAUUAAAAAUGAAGGGUAUUGGAAUUUCAAAGCUUA